CCCACGGGAGGCAGCAGUGGGGGAUAUUGCACAAUGGGGGAAACCCUGAUGCAGCGACGCCGCGUGAGCGAUGAAGUAUUUCGGUAUGUAAAGCUCUAUCAGCAGGGAAGAAAGUGACGGUACCUGACUAAGAAGCCCCGGCUAACUACGUGCCAGCAGCCGCGGUAAUACGUAGGAGGCAAGCGUUAUCCGGAUUUACUGGGUGUAAAGGGAGCGUAGACGGGAGAGCAAGUCUGAAGUGAAAGCCCAGGGCUCAACCCUGGGACUGCUUUGGAAACUGUUGACCUAGAGUGCUGGAGAGGUAAGUGGAAUUCCUAGUGUAGCGGUGAAAUGCGUAGAUAUUAGGAGGAACACCAGUGGCGAAGGCGGCUUACUGGACAGUGACUGACGUUGAGGCUCGAAAGCGUGGGGAGCAAACAGGAUUAGAUACCCUUGUAGUC
rnacentral:rRNA from 1 species